AGAGUUGUAAUGUACAUGUAAGAGUUGUAAAAUACAGGUAAGAGUUGUAAAGUACAUGUAAAAAAUGUAAAACACAGGUAAGAGUUGUAAAAUACAGGUAAGAGUUGUAAUGUACAUGUAAGAGUUGUAAAACACAGGUAAGAGUUGUAGAAUACAGGUAAGAGUUGUAAUGUACAUGUAAGAGUUGUAAAGUACAUGUAAGAAUUGUAAAACAGGUAAGAGUUGUAAAAUACUAGUAAGAGUUGUUAUGUAAACUUUAAAUUGUGUAGUUAUUUUUUUAAUUAUCAUCUAAUCAUAAAUAUUAUUAAUCAAAUAUGCAGUAUUUGUUUUUUAAAAUGUGCCGACCAGAGGAGGAUGGGUCCCCCCUGUUGAGUUUUGGUUCCUCCCAAGGUUUCUCCCUACAUUUUGAAGGGUGUUUUUCCUUGCCACUAUCGCCUUUGGCUUGCUCACUGGGGGUAUUGAGGCACAAUUUAACCCGUGUAGUAAAUUAGACUUUUCAGUCUAAAUUGAAUGUAAUAUAUAAAUAUAUAAUAUAAAUAUAAAAUAUAAAAGACUGCGUACUCUAAAAUAAUGGCUAGAAAACGUCUUUAACUUGUCUCGCUGUCGUCUGUAGUCUCAUUUACAAGCAAAUGACUAAAUCUUACUAUUUUUUAAUUGUUUAAAAUUAAAAAAAGCUCACAAACUUAGAAGUUACCAAUUUUUAAAACAGUCUGAUGAAUCAUUCAAUUAAUGAAGUCAAUUAAGCGCAAUAACUUAAGCUCAGUAUAGCACAAUAAUAUACAGAGCGCGACCAGUGUUCGAUUCACAGGAAAAUGAUUUUGAGCUGGUUCUUAAGUCAUUCAAAAACAUACAAAACACUCAGUGUAGUCCGAUUCACGAGCAAAUGACUCUUAAGACCUGGUUAUUUUAAUGAAUGAUAAAAAAAAAUAUUCACAAACUUAGGAGUUACCCGUUUAAAACAGUCCGAUUAAUGAAUUAAUUUAAGCACAAUAACUGAAGCGCAGUAUAGCACAAUAACAGUGUGACUAGUGUCUGAUUUACAACCAAAUGAUUAUUAUGAACUGUUUUUUUUUUUAAAGUGAUUAAACUAUAGUGAUUCAACCGGUCUACAGCCAUGGACCAGAUCCAAGUAAACAAAUUUUGAAUAAAGAGUGAUUCUUCCACAAUACAUGAGUCUCGACUGUUAUUUCCAUCUUAUAAAGUUUCAUAAGAAUGCAGAGAUGUGCUCAGAUUGUAUUUUUAACUCAAGGAUGUGUUGGGAGAGUGAAAACAGUGACACAAUUUCACACUGUAGUAUUGAGUAAUAAAUGAGUUUAUUCAGAUUUCAUUUUCAUGGCAUUUAUAAAUUGGUCCAGAUAUCUGUGACAGAAAAGUAAAAAAUUGAGGUAUAUUUACAUUAUUUUACUUCUUGUUUCAACAACUUUUAUCCUAAAUCAAAACAAUGAGGUCAUUGUAAUUGCAGUCUCAUAGUUAUGUUGGGCAUAUCUUACAUUCACUCUUUGGUCUUGUCUAUUUUAAAAUCCAAAUUACAUUCUCUUGUGGUCGCAAAA